rnacentral:rRNA from 1 species
CGUGUGGUUUAAUUCGAUGCUACACGAAGAACCUUACCAGGGUUUGACAUGUAAGUGGUAGGGAUCCGAAAGGUGACCGACCCUUCGGGGAGCUUGCACAGGUGCUGCAUGGCUGUCGUCAGCUCGUGUCGUGAGAUGUCCUGUUAAGUCAGGUAACGAGCGCAACCCUCGCCGUAUGUUAUAAGUAUCAUACGGGACUGCCGGUUUAGUGCCGGAGGAAGGCGGGGAUGACGUCAAGUCAGCAUGGCCUUUAUAUCCUGGGCUACACACACGCUACAAUGGCCAGUACAAUGGGUUGCAAGAUCGCGAGAUGGAGCCAAUCCCCAAAGCUGGUCUCAGUUCGGAUUGUAGGCUGCAACUCGCCUACAUGAAGCUGGAGUUGCUAGUAAC